AUACAGAGGGUGCGAGCGUUAAUCGGAAUUACUGGGCGUAAAGCGUGCGUAGGUGGUCUGUUAAGUCAGGUGUGAAAGCCCUGGGCUCAACCUAGGAACUGCAUUUGAUACUGGCAGACUAGAGUGUGGUAGAGGGUAGUGGAAUUCCCGGUGUAGCGGUGAAAUGCGUAGAUAUCGGGAGGAACAUCAGUGGCGAAGGCGGCUACCUGGACCAACACUGACACUGAGGUACGAAAGCGUGGGGAGCAAACAGGAUUAGAAACCCCGGUAGUCC
rnacentral:rRNA from 1 species